UACGUAGGGGGCAAGCGUUGUCCGGAUUUAUUGGGCGUAAAGAGCGUGUAGGCGGCCAAACAGGUCAGCUGUGAAACUCGAGGCUCAACCUCGAGACGUCGGUUGAAACCGUUUGGCUAGAGUCCGGAAGAGGAGAGUGGAAUUCCCGGUGGUAGCGGUGAAAUGCGCAGAUAUCGGGAAGAACACCCGUGGCGAAGGCGGCUCUCUGGGACGGUACUGACGCUGAGACGCGAAAGCGUGGGGAGCGAACAGG
rnacentral:rRNA from 1 species